AGUGUAGGCGGCUUCGUAAGUCGGAUGUGAAAGCCCCGGGCUUAACCUGGGAAUUGCAUUCGAUACUGCGCGGCUAGAGUCUGAUAGAGGGAAGUGGAAUUCCAGGUGUAGCGGUGAGAUGCGUAGAUAUCUGGAGGAACACCAGUGGCGAAGGCGGCUUCCUGGAUCAAGACUGACGCUGAGGCUCGAAAGCGUGGGGAGCAAACA
rnacentral:rRNA from 1 species